AACCUGCCUCAAAUUCUUGAAAUUUAUUGAGUGCAGAUGAUAAAAUAUUGUUUGCUUAUUCAGAUUAGUAUGCUGAAUAUAUAUGUUUCCUUGUUCCUUCUGAUCUGUAAGCGUUAGGACAAUGAAGUUAAUGCCAAAAAUGGCAGUCUCUUUUCAAAGUUUUGGUUUUGAGUUAUCAUUUUAUCACAGCUUGGCCAAUUUAAAAAU
rnacentral:misc_RNA from 1 species